UGACAGCUUUUAGUCAAAAUGUUUUUUAUUUACAACAGAACUUCUUUAACCAAAGUUGAACAUGCUGGCAUCUGCAAGUCAGACUGAGCUGGUUUUGGUUGGGUUGUGGGCUAGAUCUUUCCACAGAGGUGGAAUGCCUCCAUGGCAGGGGAUGGGAAGGGAUAUGCCCUACCUCAGGAGCUUUGUGAUAAAUUAACACUGGUGACUCAAGCAGUGUUUCCCAAGGACUCCCAAGAGCUGAGAUGGCACUUAGUGAAUCAACACUUUUGUGUUUGCCUAGUUCACUAGAUUGUUUGAAAGACUGACAAGCCAAAGCCACUGCAUUACCUGUGGCAGGUGAAGCCAGGAGGAAGUAAUUCUGGUCACUAUUUGUAUUGUGGCUGUUCAGAAGUAAACAGGAACAGAGGACUACCCUUUCCUUCCCAGAAGCCACUCUGUGUUGAUUCACAAAGGCCAGAUGCUGUCUGAUCUUCCCACUGGGAUUCAGUUAAGAAUGCAGACCUCGAAUACUCAAGUUCCCUCUGAGUAUUACAUAAAACUGAAAAUUAACUGGGCUGUUAAAGGAGCAUGCAUGACAGAUAUAAAUAAUUUAAUUUUUUUAUUAUAAAGGUGUUGUUUUGAUGAUUGCUUUUUGGGAUAUGCAUGUAGGUUUAAAAGUGUUUUUAAGAUAGAUACAGCUAAUCCAUUGAAGCUAAUCAGUCUUUUCAAGUUUGUGUGUUCAAGACCCUUUUAAAAUCCAAACAGUACAAAAAAGUGUUUCCAGAGUUUUCCAACUUCACUGUCAACAGCUAAGAAAUGGAUCAACAUGCUUUCAUAAUCUUGUGUGUGUAUGAAGACACAAUAAUAAACUGUUUUUUUCCUCUGGCAUAAGAAAUGGCAUUCAGAAGAAAGUUAAAAAAGGAGGAGGACAAAGGAGCACAGGACUUGGUCUACACAGGAAAAUUUUGGUCUCACGGCUCUGUCCAGACUAUUUUCUGUUCUACAUUCUUUGCACCAUAGCUGUGCUGGCAAAAUUUCUACUUUAUAUGCACUUAUACCACCAGGAAAUUCUGUUGCCAGUUUUUCAGGCACUGCUUGAGAAACAGGUUUGUUUCUUUUGCUUACCUAAACCAUAUGCCUUAAAAUACAGAUUGCUUUCAUCUUGGCUUUACUAG
rnacentral:lncRNA from 1 species